GGGAACGGUCCAUAUCGAUGAACAUUUACAUGUAAAUCUGUGGGAUUAAAACCAAAUGGCUGAUUUUCCUCCCCAGUCCCAUCGUCAGGUUGAUGUGAAACAUAAAAGUAUUAAAAGUACAAACAACAUGACUGAGACAGUAGAACGAUACACUGGUGAUGGCUGCGCUCGGCGGCGUUAGCUAAAAAGCACGGUCUAAUUGACAACAAGCGCAGGAACACAACGACGAUCCAACUUCGUGCCGAGGCGCUCUUCCAUUUUUCUGUUACAGGCGGUUCUUCGGUGAUUCUAGGUGGCCUCAGGGGCAGAACCGGCAGAACCUGCCGAGCCGUGUGGUUCACCUGCGGCCAUCUUGUCUCCCUUCCUUCUCUAACUCUGAACACGCUCCUCUCUCUUGUUUUUGCAGUUUUAAUCAAAUCAAAACGUUAAACGAUCAAAUUCUGAUGUUUCCAACAUUUUAAACAGAUUUCCGUCUCUAAACACGAGACUGAAGUUUGACAAAGUAAUCGAUCAUGUUGUCAGGACUAGUUUCCUCCAGCUUCGUCUCCUGGUCAAGGUCAUAAUGUUCUUAAGCCGUCACGACCUUGAGAUAACCAUCUAAGCUCUAAUCGGUUCAAGAUGAGACUAUUGUAAUCCACUUUAUGUUUUCAUCUCUUCGUCUCCGUCAGCUUCUCCAAAAUGCUGCUGCCGUCUUUAAACACUAACAGACGUGAGAACAUCACUCCUGUCCUCAGCCUCCUUCAUCGUCUUCUCGUCUCUUUUAGGAUCGAUUUUAAACUGUAAAUGUUUGUUUUUAAAGCUCUUUUAAAAGCCUCGCCUCCAUCUAUUUAUCUGAGCUUUUAACCAUUCAGGAGCCGAGUAGAGCUCUGAGGUCGUCAAAUCAACU